rnacentral:rRNA from 1 species
UUAAAGGAAUUGACGGGUCCCCGCACAAGCAGCGGAGCGUGUGGUUUAAUUCGUUGCUACACGAAGAACCUUACCUGGGUUUGACAUAGCAGUGGUAGGGAAGAGAAAUCGGACCGACCUUCGGGGAGCUGUUACAGGUGUUGCAUGGCUGUCGUCAGCUCGUGUCGUGAGAUGUUCGGUUAAGUCCGCUAACGAGCGCAACCCGCGUUGUGUGUUAUAUGUGUCACACAAUACCGCCGGUAUUAAGCCGGAGGAAGGUGCGGAUGACGUCAAGCCAGCAUGACCUUUAUAUCCAGGGCUACACACACGCUACAAUGGACAGUACAACAGGUUGCCAAGCCGCGAGGCGGAGCCAAUCCUCUAAAGCUGUCCUCAGUUCAGAUUGCAGGCUGCAACUCGCCUGCAUGAAGUUGGAGUUGCUAGUAACCGCAGGUCGGCUAUACUGCGGUGAAUACGUUCCCGGGGAUU